GACGAACGCUGGCGGCGUGCUUAACACAUGCAAGUCGAACGUGAUUUUUGUGGAAAUUCUUUCGGGAAUGGAAAUGAAAUGAAAGUGGCGAACGGGUGAGUAACACGUGAGCAACCUACCUUACACAGGGGGAUAGCCGUUGGAAACGACGAUUAAUACCGCAUGAGACCACAGAAUCGCAUGAUAUAGGGGUCAAAGAUUUAUCGGUGUAAGAAGGGCUCGCGUCUGAUUAGCUAGUUGGAAGGGUAAAGGCCUACCAAGGCGACGAUCAGUAGCCGGUCUGAGAGGAUGAACGGCCACAUUGGAACUGAGACACGGUCCAAACUCCUACGGGAGGCAGCAGUGGGGAAUAUUGCACAAUGGGGGGAACCCUGAUGCAGCGAUGCCGCGUGAGCGAAGAAGGUUUUCGAAUCGUAAAGCUCUGUCCUAUGAGAAGAUAAUGACGGUAUCAUAGGAGGAAGCCCCGGCUAAAUACGU
rnacentral:rRNA from 1 species